rnacentral:rRNA from 1 species
GAUGAACGCUGGCGGCGUGCCUAAUACAUGCAAGUAGAACGCUGAAGGAAGGAGCUUGCUCUUUCCGGAUGAGUUGCGAACGGGUGAGUAACGCGUAGGUAACCUGCCUGGUAGCGGGGGAUAACUAUUGGAAACGAUAGCUAAUACCGCAUAACAGUAGAUGUUGCAUGAUAUCUACUUAAAAGGUGCAAUUGCACCACUACCAGAUGGACCUGCGUUGUAUUAGCUAGUUGGUGAGGUAACGGCUCACCAAGGCGACGAUACAUAGCCGACCUGAGAGGGUGAUCGGCCACACUGGGACUGAGACACGGCCCAGACUCCUACGGGAGGCAGCAGUAGGGAAUCUUCGGCAAUGGACGGAAGUCUGACCGAGCAACGCCGCGUGAGUGAAGAAGGUUGUCGAAUCGUAAAGCUCUGUUGUAAGAGAAGAACGAGUGUGAGAGUGGAAAGUUCACACUGUGACGGUAUCUUACCAGAAAGGGACGGCUAACUACGUG